GAUGAAGAACGUAGUGAAAUGCGAUAAGUAAUGUGAAUUGCAGAAUUCAGUGAAUCAUCGAAUCUUUGAACGCACAUUGCGCCCGCCAGUAUUCUGGCGGGCAUGCCUGUCUGAGCGUCAUUUCAACCCUCACGCAACUUCUGCUUGGUGUUGGGGAUCGGCCGUUAAACGCCGCCCCCGAAAUCUAUUGGCGAUCUCGCUGUAGCUUCCUAUGCGUAGUAGUAACAUCUCGCAUCUGGAGAGCGGCGCGGUCAUGCCGUAAAACACCCAACUUCUCAGGUUGACCUCAGAUCAGGUAGGAAUACCCGCUGAACUUAAGCAUAUCAAUAAGCGGAGUA
rnacentral:misc_RNA from 1 species